rnacentral:rRNA from 1 species
UACGGAAGGCAGCAGUGGGGAAUAUUGCACAAUGGGCGAAAGCCUGAUGCAGCUAUGCCGCGUGUAUGAAGAAGGCCUUAGGGUUGUAAAGUACUUUCAUCGGGGAGGAAAAACAAAACUAAUAAUUUUAUUUCUUGACGUUACCCGAAAAAGAAGCACCGGCUAACUCCGUGCCAGCAGCCGCGGUAAUACAGAGGGUGCUAGCGUUAAUCAGAAUUACUGGGCGUAAAGAGCACGUAGGUGGUUUUUUUAAGUCAGAUGUGAAAUCCCUGGGCUUAACCUGGAACUGCAUUUUGAAACUGAAAUACUAGAGUAUCGUAGAGGGAGGUAGAAUUCUAGGUGUAGCGGUGAAAUGCGUAGAUAUCUGGAGGAAUACCUGUGGCGAAAGCGGCCUCCUAAACGAAUACUGACACUGAGGUGCGAAAGCGUGGGGAGCGAAACAGGGAUUAGAUACC